UACGGGGGGGGCAAGCGUUGUUCGGAAUUACUGGGCGUAAAGGGCUCGUAGGUGGCCAACUAAGUCGGACGUGAAAUCCCUCGGCUUAACCGGGGAACUGCAUCCGAUACUGGAUGGCUUGAGUUCGGGAGAGGGAUGCGGAAUUCCAGGUGUAGCGGUGAAAUGCGUAGAUAUCUGGAGGAACACCGGUGGCGAAGGCGGCAUCCUGGACCGACACUGACGCUGAGGAGCGAAAGCGUGGGUAGCAAACAGG
rnacentral:rRNA from 1 species